rnacentral:rRNA from 1 species
ACAAUUAGCUGUUGGGACACUAGAUGUUUUAGUAGCGAAGCUAACGCGUGAAAUUGUCCGCCUGGGGAGUACGGUCGCAAGAUUAAAACUCAAAGGAAUUGACGGGGACCCGCACAAGCGGUGGAUGAUGUGGAUUAAUUCGAUGCAACGCGAAGAACCUUACCUGGUCUUGACAUGUACGGAAUCUCUUAGAGAUAGGAGAGUGCCUUCGGGAGCCGUAACACAGGUGCUGCAUGGCUGUCGUCAGCUCGUGUCGUGAGAUGUUGGGUUAAGUCCCGCAACGAGCGCAACCCUUGUCAUUAGUUGCCAUCAUUAAGUUGGGCACUCUAAUGAGACUGCCGGUGACAAACCGGAGGAAGGUGGGGAUGACGUCAAGUCCUCAUGGCCCUUAUGACCAGGGCUUCACACGUCAUACAAUGGUCGGUACAGAGGGUAGCGAAGCCGCGAGGUGAAGCCAAUCUCAGAAAGCCGAUCGUAGUCCGGAUUGCACUCUGCAACUCGAGUGCAUGAAGUCGGAAUCGCUAGUAAUCGCAGGUCAGCAUACUGCGGUGAAUACGUUCCCGGGUCU